GGCUGCUGCGCCGCGCUGGCGGCCUUCCUGUUCGAGUACGACACGCCGCGCAUCGUGCUCAUCCGCAGCCGCAAAGUGGGGCUCAUGAACCGCGCCGUGCAGCUGCUCAUCCUGGCCUACGUCAUCGGGAGGAAAACUCCCUCUUCGUUAUGACCAAUGUGAUCCUCACCAUGAACCAGACCCAGGGCCUGUGCCCCGAGAUUCCAGAUGAGACCACUGUGUGUGAAUCAGAUGCCAACUGUACUGCCGGCUCUGCCGGCACCCACAGCAACGACCUGCUUUUUUAAAGGCUGCAGAAAACUUCACUCUUUUGGUUAAGAACAACAUCUGGUACCCCAAAUUUAAUUUCAGCAAGAGGAAUAUCCUUCCCAACAUCACCACUACUUACCUCAAGUCCUGCAUUUAUGAUGCUAAAACAGAUCCCUUCUGCCCCAUAUUCCGUCUUGGCAAAAUAGUGGAGAACGCAGGACACAGCUUCCAGGAUAUGGCCGUGGAGGUGGGUGCGGGCCCUGGCUCUCCUGACCCAGCCCUGGAGGCGUCUCGUGCCAGGCGCUGAGGAAAGCCUUGCUGUGUCUCUGCUGCUCACCCCCAGGGAGGCAUCAUGGGCAUCCAGGUCAACUGGGACUGCAACCUGGACAGAGCUGCCUCCCUCUGCUUGCCCAGGUACUCCUUCCGCCGCCUUGAUACACGGGACGUCGAGCACAACGUGUCUCCUGGCUACAAUUUCAGGUUUGCCAAGUACUACAAAGACCUGGCUGGCAACGAGCAGCGCACGCUCAUCAAGGCCUACGGCAUCCGCUUCGACAUCAUCGUGUUUGGGAAG
rnacentral:sRNA from 1 species